GCCAUGAGAGCCCCUGCUCAGCUCCUGGGGCUCCUGCUGCUCUGCCUCCCAGGUGAGAAAGGACAUCAGUGAGAAUGUACUCAAUGCACUGUGGUCAGUGCUAUGUGUCUCUGCCCAGAAAUCCUCAUAAGGCAUGUCUAAUUGUGUGUGUUUUUGCUUUAUUUUCUUGUUACCAAUAUCAGGUUCAAGAUGUGACAUCCAGAUGACUCAAACUCCAUCCUCCUUAUCUAAAUCUCUAGGAGACAGGGUCACCAUCACUUGCCAGACAAGUCAGGGCAUUAGCAAUAAUUUACACUGGUACCAGCAGAAGCCAGGGAAAGCUCCUAAGCUCCUCAUUCUUUGGGCAACUAGUAUGAGAUAUGGUGUCCCAUAGAGGUUCAGUGGCAGUGGAUAUGGCAAAGAUUUCACUCUCAUCAGCAGCAGCCUGGAGCCUGAAGAUUUUGCCACUUAUUAUUGUGUACAAGGCUACAGUGACCCUCCCACAGUGAUACAAGCCAUGACAAAAACCUCACAG
rnacentral:lncRNA from 1 species